UCCAAGUUGUUCCUAUGACAGGAGGGUCGGAGCAUGAGGGUCCACUGCAUUUUCUGCUCAGCCUGUGCUGGACCCGGAGAGGGCUGAGAGACACCUGGGUGGUGAACAGCAGAGAAGAGUUCUCUUUUUCUCUUACAGUAUCUCAGUUUAUCCCAAGACCUUCACUCAAGUCCCCUGCAUUUCAUUAUAGGCCCACGCUGGGCUCCUCCUCCUUCACCUCGGACAUCUGCCCCUAACUGCAGUCAGUCGCACCUUCCAACUCUCCCCUUUGCUCCUGCCCCUUCCCCCUAGUCCAGGGCCUUAGCUGAGGCCCUUACUGACUAUCAAC
rnacentral:lncRNA from 1 species